rnacentral:misc_RNA from 1 species
UCGGCGACUUCGUCGCCGACGAACGCCGCAUCGUUCAGGUGCUGUAUAACCUGCUGGCCAACGCCGUCGGGUUCUCGCCGCAGAACAGCACCGUGACCCUGCGCGCCCGCCGUAACGAUUCAAGCGUGGUUUUCUCGGUCUCCGACUCCGGUCCCGGCAUUCCGGAAGAAGUCAGGGACAAGGUGUUCGACUGGUUCGAAAGCCAUGCCAAUGGCUCCCCCGCCAUCGCGGCGCGGGCCUCGGCCUGUCGCUGGUUCGCUCGUUCGUCGAACUGCAUGGCGGCAAGGUCCAUGUCGACUCGGUCGUCGGCAAAGGCACGACAG